UACGUAGGGGGCAAGCGUUGUCCGGAAUUAUUGGGCGUAAAGUGCGCGCAGGCGGUCAUUUAAGUCCGAUGUGAAAGCCCGGGGCUCACCCCCGGGAGUGCAUUGGAUACUGAAGGGCUGGAGUACCGGAGAGGAGGGUGGAAUUCCUGGUGUAGCGGUGAAAUGCGUAGAUAUCAGGAGGAACACCUGUGGCGAAGGCGGCCCUCUGGACGGAUACUGACGCUGAGACGCGAAAGCGUGGGGAGCAAACAGG
rnacentral:rRNA from 1 species